AUACGGAGGGUGCGAGCGUUAAUCGGAAUUACUGGGCGUAAAGCGUGCGUAGGCGGUUUAUUAAGUCAGAUGUGAAAGCCCCGUGCUUAACCUGGGAACUGCAUUUGAUACUGGUAGACUAGAGUAUGGUAGAGGGGGGUAGAAUUCCUAGUGUAGCGGUGAAAUGCGUAGAUAUUAGGAGGAAUACCAGUGGCGAAGGCGGCCCCCUGGACCAAUACUGACGCUGAGGUACGAAAGCGUGGGGAGCGAACAGGAUUAGAUACCCCAGUAGUCC
rnacentral:rRNA from 1 species